UCUCUCCAGAUUCCUUAUCCCUCAAACCUAAAUAGUGGUCUGAGGGGUGGGUUGGGGAAAAAAAACGAGGAAAAGUAAAAUGGAAAUGGACUCAGAGUCUUUAGUGACAAACAAGUUCAUUUCAAGCAAAC
rnacentral:snoRNA from 1 species